AGAAGGUAUAGCAAUAGCUAAUUGUAUUAGCAAAUAGUUUUUACAAUAUCGAUUUAAUCGACUAAAAUUCUAGGUAGAUUUAUGAUGAUGACAUUAUCUAUCUAUGUGUCUUGACCAAAUUUCGUGCCAGCAGUCGCGGUAAGACGUAAGAGACUAGUGUUAUUCAUCUUUAAUAGGUUUAAAGCGUACCUAGACGGUAAUUAAAGCCUAUAUCAGGAACUUGUUUACUAGAGUUAAAUGUAAGGGUGUAUUAAAGUACUGUUGAGUGUAGAGAUGAAAUUCGUUGAUACCAAAUGAUUGGCACAGGUAUAGGCGAAAGCAUCACUUUAUGUAAUAACUGACGUUGACGGACGAAGGCUUUGUGUCGCGAACAGGAUUAGAUACCCCAGUAGUCUUAGCAGAAAACUAUGAGUGUCAUAGGUUAGAUUUUAUUUGGUCUAUAAAUGAAAGUGUAAGCACUCCACCUCAAGAGUAAUUUGGCAACAUUGGAACUGAAAUCAUUAGACCGUUUCUGAAACCAGUAGUGAAGUAUGUUGUUUAAUUUGAUAAUCCGCAAAGAACCUUACCACAAUUUGAAUAUAAAUGAUUUAUUUUUACAAGCGUUGCACGGCUGUCUUCAGUUAAUGUCGUGAGAUAUUGGUUUAUUCCAUUAAAUUAACGUAAACCCGUACUUUAUUUUUAUAUAAAGUUGUUCAUUCGCUAUAAUGGAUGUGAUAACAGGGACUAAGACAAGUCAUCAUGGC
rnacentral:rRNA from 1 species